rnacentral:rRNA from 1 species
GCCUUUCACAGAGGGAUAGCCCAGAGAAAUUUGGAUUAAUACCUCAUAGCAUAAUCAAGCCGCAUGGUUUGAUUAUUAAAGUCACAACGGUGAAAGAUGAGCAUGCGUCCCAUUAGCUAGUUGGUAAGGUAACGGCUUACCAAGGCGACGAUGGGUAGGGGUCCUGAGAGGGAGAUCCCCCACACUGGUACUGAGACACGGACCAGACUCCUACGGGAGGCAGCAGUGAGGAAUAUUGGUCAAUGGACGCAAGUCUGAACCAGCCAUGCCGCGUGCAGGAUGACGGUCCUAUGGAUUGUAAACUGCUUUUGCACAGGAAGAAACACUCCGACGUGUCGGAACUUGACGGUACUGUGAGAAUAAAGAUCGGCUAACUCCGUGCCAGCAGCCGCGGUAAUACGGAGGAUCCAAGCGUUAUCCGGAAUCAUUGGGUUUAAGGGUCCGUAAGCGGUCUUGUAAGUCAGUGGUGAAAGCCCAUCGCUCAACGGGGGAACGGCCAUUGAUACUGCAAGACUUGAAUUAUUGGGAAGUAACUAGAAUAUGUAAUGUAGCGGUGAAAUGCUUAAAGAUUACAUGGAAUACCAAUUGCCAAAGGAGGGUACUACCAAUUUAUUGACGCUGAUGGACGAAAGCGUGGGUAGCGAACAGGAUUAGAUACCCUGGUAACCACGCCGCAAACGAUGGAAACUAGCUGGUGGGAGCAAUCUCAUGGGUAAACCAAAGUGAUAAGUUCCCCCCUGGGGAGUACAAAGCAAGUUUGAAAC